UAGAGUUUGAUCCUGGCUCAGAUUGAACGCUGGCGGCAGGCCUAACACAUGCAAGUCGAGCGGAUGAUGGGAGCUUGNNNNNGGAUUCAGCGGCGGACGGGUGAGUAAUGCCUAGGAAUCUGCCUGGUAGUGGGGGACAACGUUUCGAAAGGAACGCUAAUACCGCAUACGUCCUACGGGAGAAAGCAGGGGACCUUCGGGCCUUGCGCUAUCAGAUGAGCCUAGGUCGGAUUAGCUAGUUGGUGGGGUAAAGGCCUACCAAGGCGACGAUCCGUAACUGGUCUGAGAGGAUGAUCAGUCACACUGGAACUGAGACACGGUCCAGACUCCUACGGGAGGCAGCAGUGGGGAAUAUUGGACAAUGGGCGAAAGCCUGAUCCAGCCAUGCCGCGUGUGUGAAGAAGGUCUUCGGAUUGUAAAGCACUUUAAGUUGGGAGGAAGGGCAGUAAGUUAAUACCUUGCUGUUUUGACGUUACCAACAGAAUAAGCACCGGCUAACUUCGUGCCAGCAGCCGCGGUAAUACGAAGGGUGCAAGCGUUAAUCGGAAUUACUGGGCGUAAGGCGCGCGUAGGUGGUUUGGUAAGAUGGAUGUGAAAUCCCCGGGCUCAACCUGGGAACUGCAUCCAUAACUGCCUGACUAGAGUACGGUAGAGGGUGGUGGAAUUUCCUGUGUAGCGGUGAAAUGCGUAGAUAUAGGAAGGAACACCAGUGGCGAAGGCGACCACCUGGACUGAUACUGACACUGAGGU
rnacentral:rRNA from 1 species